rnacentral:rRNA from 1 species
GCCAGACUCCUACGGGAGGCAGCAGUGGGGGAUAUUGCACAAUGGGGGGAACCCUGAUGCAGCGACGCCGCGUGGGUGAAGGAGUAUUUCGGUAUGUAAAGCCCUAUCGGCAGGGAAGAAGAAAGACGGUACCUGACUAAGAAGCCCCGGCUAACUACGUGCCAGCAGCCGCGGUAAUACGUAGGGGGCGAGCGUUAUCCGGAUUCACUGGGUGUAAAGGGAGCGUAGACGGCCAUGCAAGCCAGGGGUGAAAGCCCGGGGCCCAACCCCGGGACUGCCCUUGGAACUGCAUGGCUGGAGUGCGGGAGGGGCAGGCGGAAUUCCUGGUGUAGCGGUGAAAUGCGUAGAUAUCAGGAGGAACACCGGCGGCGAAGGCGGCCUGCUGGACCGCGACUGACGUUGAGGCCCGAAAGCGUGGGGAGCAAACAGGAUUAGAUACCCGCGUAA